UUGUAUUUUGCUGUUGUUCUUUUGGUUUGCACUAGGAUGCAAAAGAAAAUAAUCCCUGUGCUUUCUGUCUGUCUGUGUGGCAGUCCAAAUUGAAUUGGGGAAUACAGCU
rnacentral:snoRNA from 1 species